rnacentral:tRNA from 1 species
GGGGCGAUAGCUCAGUUGGGAGAGCGCACGACUGAAGUCCACUUCAAUCCGUCAAUCUUGGCAAUCGUGAGGUCACCGGUUCAAUCCCGGUUCGUCCCA